GAAACCCCAGGAUGGGCGGGAU
rnacentral:rRNA from 1 species